UGUGGGAGCGAGCCUGCUCGCGAUGGCGGCGGCAUGGUCAACAUUAAAGCCAGCUGAUCCACCGCCAUCGCGAGCAGGCUCGCUCCCACA
rnacentral:misc_RNA from 1 species